rnacentral:rRNA from 1 species
UUUUAUGAGAGUUUGAUCCUGGCUCAGGACGAACGCUGGCGGCGUGCCUAAUACAUGCAAGUCGAACGCUUUUUCUUUCACCGGAGCUUGCUCCACCGAAAGAAAAAGAGUGGCGAACGGGUGAGUAACACGUGGGUAACCUGCCCAUCAGAAGGGGAUAACACUUGGAAACAGGUGCUAAUACCGUAUAACAAGUAAAACCGCAUGGUUUUACUUUGAAAGGCGCUUUUGCGUCACUGAUGGAUGGACCCGCGGUGCAUUAGCUAGUUGGUGAGGUAACGGCUCACCAAGGCAACGAUGCAUAGCCGACCUGAGAGGGUGAUCGGCCACAUUGGGACUGAGACACGGCCCAAACUCCUACGGGAGGCAGCAGUAGGGAAUCUUCGGCAAUGGACGAAAGUCUGACCGAGCAACGCCGCGUGAGUGAAGAAGGUUUUCGGAUCGUAAAACUCUGUUGUUAGAGAAGAACAAGGAUGAGAGUAAAA